GUUAUUUUUACACCCAUAUUUUUGGACACCGUAACCCAUGGUACACAACUAAAACGCAGAUUUGAAUUAUUUUGGAGCCACAGAGAAACCGAGCAGUUUCUACGACUACUCUACUGAUAAUCGAAGCCACCACUUCCAUGCCGGAAAUUUUGCUUUGAAAAAACUCACAGCCAAAGAACCUACGAGGUGUCGAUUGAUGGCCGUGGAUAUCCUCUAAGGGAAGGCAAACCUUGGCCGUAGGUCUCCUUGGCUUCGAGACCUGCUACUCCUUGACUUCAAGACCUAAUUUUGUUGUUCUCUAUUGUUAUACAAUCUCUAUUUGAAGUUCUCAUGAUCCUGUUCAUGAAAUUUCUGUCACCUAUGCCCUUAUUUUUAAACCCUCAUUUAUAUUCAUCCAAUUAUUAUUGGUUAUUGUAUACCUCGAAUCCUGUUGCUUUUACAAAUUUCGUAGUGUUAUUUUGGGCUUCUUUUGUCUAGCUAUUGAAAUAUUGUGUAUUUUUUACUCUUGCAUAUUUUGUUUUGGAAAUAUUCUGGGAUUUAUAAUGGUGUGGGUAUGUACUUGACUUUAUUUUAUAGCACCGUUUCUUUCUAUAUCUAGGCAGUAAAAGAACAAUAAUUUUUCAUUUUGAUGUUAUUGAGUUCUGGAAUCUCAGUCUUAGGGUUUUAUUUUGAUAUUAUUGAGUUCUAGAAUUUCAGGCUGAACAAAAUUUGGUGUCUUCCUAGUACCGAAAAAAAAAAGGAAGAAUAAUAUGUGGGUUUCACUUUGUUAUUUGACAAAAUCAUAGAAUUGGAUUUCACUUUGACGAGGCAAACUGGGUUGUAAUAGCAAAAAAUCAGAUGCUUGCAGAUAUGCUUUCUUUCCUUCCACUUCUUCAUUUUAUUGUUUUUUUCUUUUCCAGAUAAUAUGCAUACUGUGAUUUACCGCUGCUUGAUAAUUUUAAUUUAAUUUCUUGGCUUCUGGAUCUAUGUGGGAUAUUAUAGAGCCCUGAAGUGAACAAAGCAACUAGGUGUCUUAGUUGAAUGCUCCAAGUGUAUUUGGUUGUUGGUGAAAAUGGUCCAGAAUAUGUUGUGUAAGUUCCUCUUCUUGGUUUUCACAUCCCAUAGUUUUAGCAUGAUGUAUGCAUAGAUGAUAAAGUUCCAAACUAGAUCAUUUUUGUUUUACUUUAAUAUUAUAUUUGUCUACAUUAAUGGUUUUAUUCUUAGGUAUUUGUGAACAUAUGAAUGGGCUGUCAUGCUUAUAAAUACAUAUGCAAGUAUUAUCUAUGGGCCUUCAUGCUCCUAAAUCCAUAGACAAGCAUGUGAAUGGGUUGUCAUGCUUGUCUAUGGUUUUCUGAACUAAUUCUGUUAUAUAACUCCUUAUAAUUUCUUGAUGUUGGAUAUGUUGUUGUUGCAUAUUGUUUGGAAAUCUUUUUCUCUAUAUAGCUGCAUAAAUAUGCUUGUUACAUGUUUUUUUAACCACUGGUACAGCUCUCCCUGUGUGGAAAAUUUUCUUUUGGGGGGUGGUUAUGGAUCUCUACUAAGGUGUGCAUUCAUCGGCUUUCUAUUUUUAUUAACUCUAGAAUUCAGUUGCAAUUGCUUUACAUGGUUUUAUAAUUCAUAUAUCCAUAUAUCAACAACUCUAUCGUCUAAUGUUUGGCAACUUACUAGUAUUAGAAAUAAAACAGAUAGCAACAGCUCUAUGUGCAAAUUCACCUUUAACGGAGGAAAAGCCAAAUGAUUAUUUUAGCAUGAGGAGGUUUCAAAACGUUAUCUUAUUUGAGCAGCCACAUUUGGACUGAUACUGCUCGCACCAUUCGGCCUAACUGCAAAGCCAAGUUUCAUUUGUACACCUUACAAACCAGCAAACCAUUAAAUGCGAAGUCAAGCGGUGGUUACUUUGCAAACCGUGCAAUGGUUUGUUGACAUGCUUCAAAACAAAUGGUCAAGUGGAGCGCUCAAAAGCCGCUUAAAGAAUCCAUCCUUCUCGGAAUCAUCAUCAUCUUUCUCAGUUGACUUCCUGGAAAGCAACAUAUCUCGAAUCUUUGAACCCAUCUCAUCCUCGCCUCUACUUUGCGAAAGGUCGGAGAUCGGCAAGAAAGAUCGUCAAGGCUAUGGGUUGUAUCGGGAACAGAACUUACCCGAAUGAUGCACUCAUGAAGGCCGCUAAAGUACUUGAACAUCGACAGGAGAGGAACCUCAUAGCCAGCAUUAUGCUUCUAUCCAACGGUCACGAUGAACGGUCACAGAGACAGAGCUAUGGAUGGGCAUACGAAGGCUUAGUGAUUUCUGAUUUUCUCUAAUUUCAUCUAGUUUGACAAAAUCGUAACUCGAAAUUGAAAUCAUAAAAAUUUUGCAGAGAUGAUUUCUAAAUUUGUAGAAGUUUUUGUGGAAGUUUGUGUAAAGAUUUGUGUUGAUUUUACUCUUUAUGUUGAUUACGCAGAGUAAAGAUUGUGUAAAGAUUUCGAUUUUGAAAUCUAUCCAUAUUUCUAUAUUUCAAAAUAAUAAAGAGUAAAGUUUCUAUGUUGA